rnacentral:rRNA from 1 species
UCGGGAAUUUUGGGCAAUGGGCGAAAGCCUGACCCAGCAACGCCGCGUGAAGGAUGAAAUCCUUCGGGAUGUAAACUUCGCAAGAACGGGAAGAAUAAGUGAGGGUUAAUAUCUCUCGCGAUGACGGUACCGUUUGUAAGCUCCGGCUAACUCCGUG